UUUUUCAAGAGAGAGCCGUUAGGCGGCCGCCGAAGAGGCAAGCCGGGAUGAUGGAGGUGAACAUGAUCUGGGUGAAACUUUCAGGCAAAAGGACUGGAAA
rnacentral:ncRNA from 1 species